rnacentral:rRNA from 1 species
UAGAGUUUGAUCCUGGCUCAGAUUGAACGCUGGCGGCAUGCCUUACACAUGCAAGUCGAACGGCAGCGCGGGAGCAAUCCUGGCGGCGAGUGGCGAACGGGUGAGUAAUACAUCGGAACGUGCCCAAUCGUGGGGGAUAACGCAGCGAAAGCUGUGCUAAUACCGCAUAAGAUCUACGGAUGAAAGCAGGGGAUCGCAAGACCUUGCGCGAAUGGAGCGGCCGAUGGCAGAUUAGGUAGUUGGUGAGGUAAAGGCUCACCAAGCCUUCGAUCUGUAGCUGGUCUGAGAGGACGACCAGCCACACUGGGACUGAGACACGGCCCAGACUCCUACGGGAGGCAGCAGUGGGGAAUUUUGGACAAUGGGCGAAAGCCUGAUCCAGCCAUGCCGCGUGCAGGAUGACGGCCUUCGGGUUGUAAACUGCUUUUGUACGGAACGAAACGGCCUUUUCUAAUAAAGAGGGCUAAUGACGGUACCGUAAGAAUAAGCACCGGCUAACUACGUGCCAGCAGCCGCGGUAAUACGUAGGGUGCAAGCGUUAAUCGGAAUUACUGGGCGUAAAGCGUGCGCAGGCGGUAAUGUAAGACAGUUGUGAAAUCCCCGGGCUCAACCUGGGAACUGCAUCUGUGACUGCAUUGCUGGAGUACGGUAGAGGGGGAUGGAAUUCCGCGUGUAGCAGUGAAAUGCGUAGGUAUGCGGAGGAACACCGAUGGCGAAGGCAAUCCCCUGGACCUGUACUGACGCUCAUGCACGAAAGCGUGGGGAGCAAACAGGAUUAGAUACCCCUGGUAGUCCACGCCCUAAACGAUGUCAACUGGUUGUUGGGUCUUCACUGACUCAGUAACGAAGCUAACGCGUGAAGUUGACCGCCUGGGGAGUACGGCCGCAAGGUUAAAACUCAAAUGAAUUGACGGGGGCCCGCACAAGCGGUGGAGCAUGUGGUUUAAUUCGAUGCAACGCGAAGAACCUUACCUACUCUUGACAUCCACAGAAUUUGGUAGAGAUACCUUAGUGCCUUCGGGAACUGUGAGACAGGUGCUGCAUGGCUGUCGUCAGCUCGUGUUGUGAAAUGUUGGGUUAAGUCCCGCAACGAGCGCAACCCUUAUCCUUUGUUGCCAGCGGUUCGGCCGGGAACUCAAAGGAGACUGCCAGUGAUAAACUGGAGGAAGGUGGGGAUGACGUCAAGUCAUCAUGGCCCUUACGAGUAGGGCUACACACGUGCUACAAUGGCGCAUACAAAGAGAAGCGACCUCGCGAGAGCAAGCGGACCUCAUAAAGUGCGUCGUAGUCCGGAUCGGAGUCUGCAACUCGACUCCGUGAAGUCGGAAUCGCUAGUAAUCGUAGAUCAGAAUGCUACGGUGAAUACGUUCCCGGGCCUUGUACACACCGCCCGUCACACCAUGGGAGUGGGUUGCAAAAGAAGUAGGUAGCUUAACCUUCGGGAGGGCGCUUACCACUUUGUGAUUCAUGACUGGGGUGAAGUCGUAACAAGGUAACC